UGGAGUCCGAACUCUCACUUUCUAACCCUGUGCACUUGUUUGGGAUAGUAACUCUCGCAAGAGAGCGAACUCCUAUUCACUUAUAAACACAAAGUCUAUGAAUGUAUUAAAUUUUAUAACAAAAUAAAACUUUCAACAACGGAUCUCUUGGCUCUCGCAUCGAUGAAGAACGCAGCGAAAUGCGAUAAGUAAUGUGAAUUGCAGAAUUCAGUGAAUCAUCGAAUCUUUGAACGCACCUUGCGCUCCAUGGUAUUCCGUGGAGCAUGCCUGUUUGAGUGUCAUGAAUACUUCAACCCUCCUCUUUCUUAAUGAUUGAAGAGGUGUUUGGUUUCUGAGCGCUGCUGGCCUUUACGGUCUAGCUCGUUCGUAAUGCAUUAGCAUCCGCAAUCGAACUUCGGAUUGACUUGGCGUAAUAGACUAUUCGCUGAGGAAUUCUAGUCUUCGGACUAGAGCCGGGUUGGGUUAAAGGAAGCUUCUAAUCAGAAUGUCUACAUUUUAAGAUUAGAUCUCAAAUCAGGUAGGACUACCCGCUGAACUUAAGCAUAUCAA
rnacentral:rRNA from 1 species